AGCCGUGUCGUCUAACAGUAGGACUCCGGACUUUGAAUCCGGCAAUGAUGGUGCGAGUCCAUCUGCGGCUGCCA
rnacentral:tRNA from 1 species